rnacentral:lncRNA from 1 species
CGCUUGGUUUUAUCUUAUUAAACUAUAACAUAUCACUAUGUUAUAAGAAACUAUGGUAAGUGUUUACAUGCAGUUCAUUUCUUAUGUAUAGCUUUUUUAACUGCUUUGCCUUAACCAUUAUUUUUUCGUUAUACACAUGAUUAACAUUUCAAAUAAUGUUCUAGUUAAUUUUUCACGUACAAUUAAAUAAAAAAGCGUUGUUGUUGUGGAGGUUAGCGACUAGCAACUGAUUGUUUGAUCCAUUAUAAUGAAUAGCGAUAGGAUGACUUAGACCAUCAUUUGCUGUCAAUAUUUCUCUAUGCCGUUGUCCAUCAGGGGAGAUAGCUACAACAUUGUUCGAACUGUAUCCCGUCACGUACACAUUGCCAUCUUUAUCUACAUCAAUACCAUGCGGAUUAUUCAAAACGCUUUCGUUAAGGAAUAACCAUUCUAGUUUACCUUGUAGAUUAUAACAUGUAACAGUAUUUGUUAUAUAGCUUGUAUAGUAUUGUUCUCCCUUAAUGUUGCAAUUGCAAUGUAACAGUAAACGGGCAUUUUGUCUCGAACUAUAUCAUGUAUAGACUCGUCCUCUAGACUGAUCAUUUGUAUACCAUUGUCUCUUCCGGAAUAUAUUAAUUGAUUACCGUUAAGUGUUAUGCCAUCAAUGUACGAAUUCAGUGAAAUUGUUUUCAUGAUUUGUUUCGUCCCUAGGUCUAUAAUGUAAAUACUCAUCAUCACUGAACUACCAGAUGUGACAGCCAAUGUAUUGUUUCCACUGAUGUAUACUAUAUCAAAUGGGUGACACGGCAUCUUAACCUCAAAGUCUUUUGAUCCUUUAUCGUUGAAUAC